ACAAGUUAUAGCGAUCACAGUCAGUGUCCUGUAGACUAAGGUAAACAAUCCAUUUCUCUUGCUGAUCAUUCCACACCAGAAGUUUUGGUUCUCCACUUGGAUUCAGUGCAAGCCUUAUGAAAGCAGCUGUUUGAUUGAUGAGAUGCCCAGAUAUCGAUUUCUCGAGCUGUCAGGACUGAAAAAUCCCAGUUCAAAUUCUCCACCUGCUGAUAUAAUGGUGUCACCAUCUUUAAUAGUCUGGUGUGGUCUAAUGGUGUCAACAGCUGCUGAGUUCAUCAAGGUGGAGGAUAAAAUGAACCAAAACAGAAUGAUGGUGGGAAUAUACAUUGCACACUUGCAAAUUGUGUACACUUUCAAGUAAAGAAAAUGUGGUAGUGUGUUUCCUUUAACCAAAUUUCAUAAUUGUUUGUAACAAGUCCAUUUGCUGAAUAUAAAACAUAGACAAAGUAGUAUGAUGACAAUCAAAGUUUGACACAUGUAUGCUAGAGUCAAAAUUGGCUUUUAAUCUAAAUUUUUUGACAUUCA